rnacentral:rRNA from 1 species
CUGGCGGCGUGCUUAACACAUGCAAGUCGAACGGUGACCCAGGGCUUGCCCUGGUGAUCAGUGGCGAACGGGUGAGUAACACGUGGGCAACCUGCCCCUGACUUCGGGAUAACUCCUCGAAAGAGGAGCUAAUACCGGAUACGACCACUUCGGACAUCCGAUGGUGGUGGAAAGUUUUUCGGUCAGGGAUGGGCCCGUGGCCUAUCAGCUAGUUGGUGGGGGUAAUGGCCUACCAAGGCGACGACGGGUAGCCGGCCUGAGAGGGCGACCGGCCACACUGGGACUGAGACACGGCCCAGACUCCUACGGGAGGCAGCAGUGGGGAAUAUUGCGCAAUGGGCGAAAGCCUGACGCAGCGACGCCGCGUGAGGGAUGAAGGCCUUCGGGUUGUAAACCUCUUUCAGCAGGGACGAAGCGAAAGUGACGGUACCUGCAGAAGAAGCACCGGCUAACUACGUG